AGCUCUCCUCAGGUUUGAAGACCUUGUCCAGGACCCUGAUCUCCUCAAGAUCUUUCUCCUGCACCAACAACUGGAUGAUCCUCUGGCCCAAAAACCCUCCUGCUCCAGUCACCAGGCAGCUCCACCCAGGCAUGGUCAACACUGGAAGCAGAUCACAGUUGUGCGAGGUUAAUGUAUCAUGGUCCUGGAGGUGGCUAGAAAGAGAGAUCUGGUGAUUUCCCCAAACCCAGUUUCUUCUUCAAACCUCCCAUAGAACAGAUCUCCAAGACAUGGAGAUUAAUUCCCACAUCACACACCAACGUAUUCCAAUAGGUACCAAUAAACUAUCAACUCAUAUGGUGUGGCUAUGUCAAAGUAUGGCUCCUUUACCUAAAUGCCUGUCUCAACCUGGAAUAAUUCACUUGUGCUUCUGAAGAAAUAGUCACAAAUUGGGGCUCAAC
rnacentral:lncRNA from 1 species